rnacentral:misc_RNA from 1 species
UCACAUCUUACGAUGGCAGUCUUGUCAGAGUCCUCAGCGGAACCUGUUAGUAACUGACAACAAGGGUUGCGCUCGUUAUGGCACUUAAGCCGACACCUCACGGCACGAGCUGACGACAACCAUGCAGCACCUUCACAGAUGCCUUGCGGCUUACGGCUUUCACCGUAAUUCAUCUGCAAUUUAAGCCCGGGUAAGGUUCCUCGCGUAUCAUCGAAUUAAACCACAUGUUCCUCCGCUUGUGCGGGCCCCCGUCAAUUCCUUUGAGUUUCACCGUUGCCGGCGUACUCCCCAGGUGGAAUACUUAACGCUUUCGCUUGGCCGCUUGCCGUAUAUCGCAAACAGCGAGUAUUCAUCGUUUACCGUGUGGACUAC